AUACCGAGUUUCAACUCCCAAACCCCUGUGAACAUACCACUUGUUGCCUCGGCGGAUCAGCCCGCUCCCGGUAAAACGGGACGGCCCGCCAGAGGACCCCUAAACUCUGUUUCUAUAUGUAACUUCUGAGUAAAACCAUAAAUAAAUCAAAACUUUCAACAACGGAUCUCUUGGUUCUGGCAUCGAUGAAGAACGCAGCAAAAUGCGAUAAGUAAUGUGAAUUGCAGAAUUCAGUGAAUCAUCGAAUCUUUGAACGCACAUUGCGCCGCCAGUAUUCUGGCGGGCAUGCCUGUUCGAGCGUCAUUUCAACCCUCAAGCACAGCUUGGUGUUGGGACUCGCGUUAAUUCGCGUUCCCCAAAUUGAUUGGCGGUCACGUCGAGCUUCCAUAGCGUAGUAGUAAAACCCUCGUUACUGGUAAUCGUCGCGGCCACGCCGUUAAACCCCAACUUCUGAAUGUUGACCUCGGAUCAGGAGAA
rnacentral:rRNA from 1 species